GUCAGGUCCCUGCUCCACAGAGCACCCAAGAUAUCCUCACACAGCAUCCUGAGCUCUGCUGGACCCAGCUGUCCAGAGUGUUACACAAAAAGUGAUCUUCCAUUGGAGCAACUUCCCUUCAGAAAGCCCAGCCAGUGGCAAGGAGCCAUGACACCAAGUCCAGCCAGAGCAGGAUCGGGCCUUUAAUCCCUAUUUCCUCUUGGCCGAGUGAACUGCAGUAUAUGCCAGUGACAGCUAAAUGAAGGAUUCCUUUUUCCAGUUCCAGCUCCUAACUCAUAAACUCAAGGCAAAGCAAUGAUUAAAGUCAGUGCACGAAACCCGGCAAGAAGAGAGGCCUUGCUGAAAACGCCUUUCUUCCUGACUUUUCUGUGGAAAAAAAAACAAGGGAGAUGAAAAAUGGUUACAGGGACUUGAGAAGGACGACAGCAACCCGUUAGCUAACCCAAACAAUAGAAGAGGAAGCCAAGCUUAGAUGAAAAACAAAGAUUCCAGAGCAGUGGAGCUUUACACCCAAAGCAGAGUCCAAAUGAACUGCCACAGAAGUGGAAACAGCAGAGAGUAAGUGCCCACUCGGAUAUGAUAUAAACCCAGCAGUCUAACCAACCUAACAAACUUAGUGGGUCUCCUGCCUCACAGGCUCUCUUUUAUUUCUCCUCCUGACUCAGCAAAGCCACGGUCUGCUGGGAGUUCUGUGUCAGCACUUCACAGAGUGACACUAGUUCCAACCACAACAGGGAAACGAAGUAAAUGAGUAGAACUUGGGAGCAUCAGUGUUUGCAGAACCACACGUAACGCUUUAUGGUGCUGCUCAAUUUCCACCUCAUCUGUUGGGCAAGACUAUGUAAUCACAUUUCAGAAGGGCAUUUUUGUUUGAGUGAAUCCUUCUCCUGAGAGCAUAAAUCAAAGGGACCUGAGACAGAAAUUGUGUAUAUGUUAGAUGCAAUGUGAGAAAUGUAUUGGAAAAACAAUGGCAUGCUAGAAAAUCCUAUUAUUCAU